rnacentral:lncRNA from 1 species
CAAAUUUUGAUACCACCCCCCCCCUGGAAAUUUUUGAGAGCUGACUACUGAAGUGUUAGGAGAUGGAGCAUGCCUGGGGUGGAAUGGAACCAGAGGAGCUAAUCUGGUAAGUAAAAGGAGGGACUGAGGGACUCCCAGCAGCUGCUGAAGCCCUGUUUCUUCGGGGAAUUCCCUCCUUUCUUCCUUGCACUGUGAGGAUUAUGCUACCUCUGUCUUCUUAAAAAAAUAGAAAAAGAAAAAGGGGACACUAAAUGCAGUAAAGUCGCCAUGGAGACCCUUGAUUUUACAUUUCAGGUUGCCCCUCUGUGAAAACAUCUGGUCCCCUUGUGGGGACAUCUGUAGUGCCACUGGUGUAGGAGAUUUUUCUCUUAUCUGCUCUGUUUUAAAGGUUUCUGUCUGUCAGCCAUAGUCUGGAGCUCCUUUCUGUCUGUCUGUCCUGUGUCUUUGUUUCUGGCCCUUUAAGACAUGUGCAACAGUGUACUGAUAUCAUAAAUUGUUUCUUGGGAAUGAUCUUUGCUGAAUGUGUGUCUAAACGAUGAUGUUUUAUUGUAACAAUCUGGUAUCUGAAUGGGUUUUUGAAGCAUUGCACAAUAUUGCAGUUAAAAGUUGGGUUUAGGUAAUUUUUUAGUUUAUGAUUUCAGAAAAUUUAUGCCAGAGAACUUAAAUACUUAGAAUGGAAAAAAAAAUAACUCUACUUCCAAGUUGGCAAGUUACUUCCCAAUCAUUCAGUAUUUUUCACCAAUUUUGAAUUGGAUAGCCUGGGAAAAUGUCACUGUGUACCAGUGCAUUAAUUUGGAAAAGGAUAGUAAAUCAUAGUAUGGUAUCUGUUGACAAAACAAGAUGUAAAGAUAUAAAAUUUUGUGAAUUGUAUCUUAAACUUGUAUCAUAAUUUUCAACAUCUGAACCUGAAAAUUAUGACUUAUGGUUAAAAUGCCUUAGGCCUGAGGUGUCUGCUCAGAAUAGCAGUUUUUCCCCUGCUCCUUCCAGACCUCAGCCAGGACUUAUGUUGAAAUGCAAAUGAAAGAAGCCUGCAAGCUCAGUAUGAGACUGAUCUGAGGCCUUAACAAAAAAGGUAAAUUGUAUGGUAUUUACUAAUUACUGGCCAGUCAUUUUUUCUAGGAUUCUUGUUUUUUUUUUUUUUUUCUUCUUAGAUUCUGUAUUUUUUUGAGCUCAUGAUUUUGGUCCUACAGACAUAGGUUAAUGUUUUUCUGAUCAGUUCUAUCUUUGACCAACUGUGGAGUUUUUGAAACAUUGCAAUGGAGAUUUCAUCUGUGAAAAGCUACAAGGCCUUUACUAUUGUUAUGUGUGCACACUUGUGUUAUGUGUUGUAUGUCUAUAUAUAUAUACAUAUGUCUGUAUCAUAUAUAUGAUAUACAAAUUAACAUAUAUAAGAAGCUCUCAUAAAAACAAAGUUUAAAAAGUGGAUCCAAAGAUUUAAAUCAUGUGAUUUAAAUGGCUCAAUUUAAAUUGGAUAAAGAGAUAAAAUAAAUGUCUUUAAAUUUAAGCUUACAUGUUUUUCUAGGUGUUCAAAAAACUCAUAAAAUAUUAAUGUCUAUAAAAUGUCUAAUAUACCUUGGUUCUAGGAUUUUUCCUUCAACAACAACAAAAAAAUGGCUAGCACUGUUCAACUCACUUGUCUAAUAUUUUGAUAAAAUAAGUAAAGUAAAUUUGAUAUGGGUUUACUCAUUCAUAAGUACUUUUGUUACAUAUCUGAUUAAUUUACUAAGGUCUGUAUGAGUUUGUUUUUACAAUCAGUCAUGUGUUAAAGAGACAAAAAUUUCUUAAAACAUAAGUUUACCCAUUACAUUGUGUUUAUUAAGUUUUAUUUUUUUCUAGAGCAAGCAACCAUAAAAAUUAAACAACUGGUUAAAUAAAAACUGUUAUUUUAGAGCAUUGUACUGUCAUUUUUUUAAAAGCUAAACUUGGUUAAUAUAAAAACAUCAAUGUAAUUGUGAUGCUAUUAAUGUGCUCAUAUCUUCCAGGUAUACAAGUCUGUAAGGGAGAAACUUUAAAAGAGCAUAUAUCAAGCUAGUGUUCUGAAGUUGUAUGGUAAUAUAUAUAUAUAUAUAUAUAUAUAUAUAUAUAUAUAUAUAUAUAGGGGAUUUAUUUACUUGUUAUCAACAAGAUAUGUAAAGUUUUAUGUUACUUUUUACAUUGGGGAACAAUUUAAAUGUAUUUUUAAGUUAAUGAGAGCCUAAACUAUGUAAAGGUUAAAAACUUUUUUAACCUUUCUUUAAGCCUUUCUUUAACUCAUGUUUUAAAUGUGAUAUCAUAUGGUGUUAGCUAAUGUUCAUGUGACCUAAAACAAUUUAUGUAAACUUUGUAAAGUGAUAUUUAAAAAGCAAAUAUCAGCUUUCGAACUGGAACACUUAAGAUUUAUAAAGAGCCGGGCCUUACCUGAGUUAAGGCUCUGUGUCCCAUCUUACUAUAUGUGAGAAUGACUACAAAAGCAGUAGGCCAGAAUUUAGUUCAUUUAAAGUUAUGUUCAAAAGUUGUUUUUUAUCUGUCAAGAUUACUAGGAUCUCAAACAGGGGAUAUAAUGUAUACCUCAGCCAAAAUUCAGGGUAGCUAUUAAAUGAACUAAAUGUUUUUACUCUUGUUAAUUUUAUUUUGUAAUUUCCUUAUAAGUGAUCUAAAGAUUCCCUGUUAGUGUUUUACAGAAAUUUUGCAUUAAGAACACAACAUGGAUUAAUUUAAGAUAAUAAGCCAUCACCUAAAAGACAGAUAGGAUAAUACAGAUCCCAUUUAAUAAAAAAGAUAAAUAAUUGUAAAGUUAUAGACAUUAAAGCCCAGUACUCUUAAUAUAAGGCUGUUAAAAUUUAUUUGUUGGAUGUUUAAAAUUAAGUUUUAAAAUGUUGAAGGCUUGUGAGGGAACUUCUGUACAGUGACAUGCUCCAGCAGCUGCAACAUUUAUUCAGUACUCAUGGUCUUUAUUUCUCUCAUAGAAGCACCCAUCCCCAGAUGACUUUACAACCUGUUCUUCCCCAACCAGACUUCAAACAGAACUGACUUCUAAAAGGAAACUCAUGUCCCUCAUGGCGUGCCUCCUCACAUCACCCCCUCUCAGCUCAGAAGAAGCCAAAACAAGUGAUGCCCCUCUUCUUACAACAAUGGAGCCAAAAAUAAAUAGACUGUCAAUAUAAGUAAUUAAUUAAGUCAGAUCAAAUCAGGGAGACCAGUUUUGGGUGAGUUCAAAAAAUGUUGGAGACUGUUACCUGAGGAAUUAAAAUUCCCUCAGUGCUCUUCCCCUACCCUAUCAAAGAUUUGAAAGGGAUACAUAAAAAAGGGGGGGAGUGAUAGACCCAACCUGAUCUUUUCUUAAAAUUGGGAGCCAUCUCGCCACAAAACCAUUAAAAGAUAAUUUCAGCUUUACUAUAAAUUACUGCAAAUUCUGAACCUGCUUGGAAUGCCUGCCUGUGCCUUGAACUCACCCAUGCCUGGCUCUCUGACCAGAUUGCAGCCCUCUCUGAAACUUUAGUGAUGCCUCACAAAUCUUGGCCUUCCCUGGCCAGAUAACGACCUUCUCUGAGGCUCUAAUGACCUUCAUAAAUUCUGAUGUUGGGGUCAGCAAAAAUGUAAACUACCAUUAGUGUUAUGCUCCUCAGAGUUUUGUUAUCUGUAACCUCCGUUUGUGUAACUUUCUGGGCUAUAAUGCUGGGAUGCAGGAAAGCUUCGGGUCUGUCUUGUUCCCGCAGUUUUGGGUGGGAGAGGCAGCGCGGCUGGUCGAAAUAGUAAGCUUGCUUUAAUUUGAUUUUAAUUGGAGUCAGUGGUCUUUUCUUGUGUCCUGGUCUAACACCACCAGACACUGAAAACAAUUAUGAGGAGUUCCUGGCCACAAAUUUCAGUUCCUGACAUUGCCAGUCUCAGUGGCUUCAAACAGCCUCCCUACCCAGUCUCAAAAUAAGAACACACACUUGCCAUUUCCUGGCUUUCAGUAUGCUUAGUGUCCCUGCUGUAGUUUUUUCAGCUCCUGUGUAGCACAGAAACCUGGGGCUCCAGAUCUACAACAGGAAACAUAGAAAUGGAUUCAAAGAAUGGCAGGCUCCAGAAACACAAGGACAGGAGAAUGUGAAAGCCCACCCGUCAUCACUGGCUCUGUGUUGAUUGGACCGUUCUCACCAAAGAGAGAGAUUGGAAAGGGCUUCAGGCACUUCCUCCAAACUGAGGCUGGUAGGUUUACUGUUUGAGUGACAAUAAAUUGCAUUCAGACCAGAAACAAAGUCGCAAAGACUGGUUCUUGGUUGCUCUUAUUGUUGAUAAA